rnacentral:rRNA from 1 species
UAAAAGUCGUAACAAGGUCUCCGUAGGUGAACCUGCCGAAGGAUCAUUACCGUUUGUCUCUUUUGACUAACACCACUGUGAACUGUACCAAGCAAGUGGGGUGUUCCGCAAGGAACUUAAAUGGGUCCUAUGGGUCCUGCCCCGCUUGUGCAACCCACUUUUGUGUAUUUUUACGCACUUGUGUAAAUCAUGUGUGUUGAAGCUUUAGCUUUGACAAAGAAAAAAACGUGACAACUUCUAACGGUGGAUCUCUUGGCUCGUGCAUCGAUGAAGAACGUAGCCAGUUGCGAUAAGUAGUGUGAAUUGCAGAAUUCAGUGAAUCAUCGAAUCUUUGAACGCAAAUUGCGCUUUCUGGAUAUCCCGGGAGCAUGCCUGUCUGAGCGUCGUUUAAAAAUCAACACACCUCGGUGUGGGUAGGGAGUUCACGCGGCUGCGUUUACGUAGCUGCCUGUCUCUCGAUGUGUCUGAACCUUGCUUGUACUUGCUUACGUACUUGCUUGGAAGGCUCAACUUGCUUCUGUCCUUCUAAAGCUCUGUGCUUGCUCGAACAUGCGGUUCUCACGAGUCUCUCUAUGAGUGACUCAAUUUCUUUUUUUGACCUCAGAUCAGACAAGACUACCCGCUGAAUUUAAGCAUAUCAAUA